GAAUAAAAUCACCUCAGCCGAUUGGCAUUUCUGUUGACAUAUGGAGGUCUGCAGUGGGAUGUUCUGGCAUUGAGAAUUGCCAUGCACUGAUGGCUGCUGGUGCUGCGGAUUGUUAGCAUCUACAAUCUUCAUUGAUCUCUACAGAAUCUGUACAUGACUUAAAAUCUUACUAUGUUCCAAAGCUUGGAGCAAAAGGAAAUACAAACACUGAAAGUAUGAAACUAUAAAUAUCAUAAAGAAAACAGCUAAAGAAGGAAUUGUAUUUCAUCUUGAUGUGAACUGAAAUGGACGUGGAUAUACCCUGGAGUCGGUUAUUAAUUCAGACAGAGGAGGCCACCAUCAACUGAUCUUUACAACUGAUCUUUGAAGGAACUUUCAGGAUAGCAAGGUGAAAGUGUUACCUUGCACGCUCUGCAUUAGAGAAUGGUGAAAUCACAUGUUCUCAGCAUAUCCUCCAACUCGGUGAGUGACUGGCUUAAACUUGUUCAUGUUCCUGGUUGGCUUUCAGGAUGUCGUGUACUGCAUAUAUAUGCACUGGGCACUAAUGUUCUGAUACUGGUAAAUACAAUUUAUUUGAUAAUAACCGUGGCAUUAAAUAGACUAACAAGGGACUAUAGAUUAACAGAACAUAAUAAAAUCUAUUCUGAAGGUUUAACCACCUCCAUACUAAUGUCUUGAUGGACAUGAGGCCACAUAGCUGUGAUUUAACUCUCUGAAAAAUGGGUAUAAGCUUCCUAAAGGAGGAGGCUGCGUCUCUCAUUGCCUUCAUUGUCAACCUCUUUGUACCUAGUAAAAUCAAUACCAGCCGCACUGAAGACUUGUUUACCGCCUAUCAUAUUUCAGAUUCAGAACUUCCCAGAGAACCGUCACACUCUUCUGACUGGCAAGAAAGAUGGGAAACAUCAGUCAGUGAGACUGCUCAGUGGUUAGAAGCCCUUGCUGUCAUAGGUUGUCCUGAGCUCUGGCCCCAGCCCCACUGAGUAGAAGGAGAGAACCAACCCCCACAAAUUGUACUCUGGUCUCUUUGACCUCCACUCAUGUGCGCCCCAUGUAUAUACACUUCUCACACACACACACACACACACACACACACACACACACACACACACAUUUUAAGUCACAAAGAUAGAAACCACAUCCUCCAAGUUGUGUCAAGUCAGCUGAGUUUGUAUGUAUAAAAAGAUCAUUUAGUAUACAAUUAUUAUACUUAGAAAAUACUAAACAAAAUUCCAAAUAUAAAGUCAGUAAAAUCAAACCUCUUUACUUCCAAUAUGCACAGAUAAAGGAAUGUGGGCUGGGCACUGGGUGUUUCCUUUCUCUGUAACUGUUGGUUGGUUACACUUUAUUGGGCUGGGAAGGUAAAUGGACCUGUUUUACUUAACAAAGCCAGCUAGUUGUUUUAUGGAAAUUGUCCUUCCGCUUCUAACUCAUCUGAAUGUCAAUGUCAAACUAACAGCUGCACCACUGGGAUGAGAAGGGAAAACUCCUGGUCAGAAGAAGCCCUCUUUCCAUUAAGGCGUGCCCUUCAUGCUUCGCAUUAGCUGCUGUCAACUCAGCUUCUUUCUUCCCGAGAACGGCCAGCUGAUGGAUGCAUGCGGACCGCAUAGCGCUGCGCAGGAACUUGCUUCCUUUUCCAAUCCCUUGCAAGACCUGUGUAUGGAAAAUGACUUUUGACAGGAGCGUGAAGCUAACUUCGGUUUUACUUGGCUAAAGUGUUUCAUUGACAAGAAUGAACAAAUGCCAUAUAGAUCUAGACUUCAGCUACACUUUAAAGGGAAUGACAUCAUCCCAGAGUACGCUGCUGCUAUUUUAGUCCUGGUGGCAAUACAUGGUAGAGUUGCAUUUGGAAGUCAAAAAUUAAGUUAUGUUUGUUAUACCAUUCUAAAUAAUAGCCAUUCACAUCACGUAAAAUAGCAUAAGAAGUAGAAUUAACCAGAAUGGGCACACAGAUAGUCUAUGCUAUAAUACUGAUAGACAUAACCAAGAUAGGCCAGCCUCUCUUCCACUCAAUAGCAGAGGACUAGCACAUUUACAAUGCACGACACUGUUUAGAAUUAUGUUAUGUAUCAGUGGUCAGCUUAGAAUAGAACUAUUGUUGCAACCAUGUGAUCAUAUGUAAUGUAAGUGUUUGACAACAAUAAUCAAUGCAUUUAGUAUAAAACGAAAAUCUGUUAUUUGCUUAUGCUGGUGACAGCUGUUCACAUAAUUUACAAUAAUUAGAUUAUAGUAAAGUCUGGGCAAAGUGACACUUAACAUUUCUUCUUGCUAUCCCCUACACCUUGAAGUGAGCACAUGAUGAAAUUGGAAAAUGUGUAAGAAGAGCAAGUAGUAAUUUUUGAAAGGCUUGGGACAUCUGAGUGAGCAACUUGUGGAGAAACACAGGCUUUGAGAUGAUGAUGGGGUUUAUGGCAAUUUUCUUGGAAGGGACUGUUGUGGAUUUACAGUUGAACAGCAAGGGAAUUUAUCGCAUUCAUAUCCUGAUACAUCUGCCUUUCUCCAGAGAGAUAACACCUUAUAAGAACUAUAACUACUCUUCUCAUUCCCUCAGGGUAAACAUAACGGCAGCAUUUUGAGCUAUUUUCUGAGAAGCUCAUAUGAACUUGGAGCUCAGAAGAGAAAACAUACCUCAAGUGGCCAUUCUGUUAUGAGGAGUGGCUUUUGAGUCUUCCUUGCUCACUAGACUUUCUUGGACCUAUUACUAAACAGGCUUUUUUGCCCACACUAAAUGUUAUCGCUUGAUUUUUCAACCUUAACGUGAAGAACCAGCCACUGGAAUGAAAACACUGAUCUAAGACUUUGUCCUUAUGCUCCUUGAGAGCUUUCAUUUGAUCCUCUUUUGAUACAGCCAUUCCUUCAACCAGACAUAUGUCACUAAAGGCUGAUCAGAAGACGGAAGGUUAUGACACAGUUAAGCUCCUGCUCCAGCACCCUGUGUGCCUGCUU